rnacentral:rRNA from 1 species
CACUCCUGCGGGAGGCAGCAGUGGGGAAUUUUGGACAAUGGGCGAAAGCCUGAUCCAGCAAUGCCGCGUGAGUGAAGAAGGCCUUCGGGUUGUAAAGCUCUUUUGUCAGGGAAGAAACGGUGAAAGCUAAUAUCUUUUGCUAAUGACGGUACCUGAAGAAUAAGCACCGGCUAACUACGUGCCAGCAGCCGCGGUAAUACGUAGGGUGCAAGCGUUAAUCGGAAUUACUGGGCGUAAAGCGUGCGCAGGCGGUUUUGUAAGUCUGAUGUGAAAUCCCCGGGCUCAACCUGGGAAUUGCAUUGGAGACUGCAAGGCUAGAAUCUGGCAGAGGGGGGUAGAAUUCCACGUGUAGCAGUGAAAUGCGUAGAUAUGUGGAGGAACACCGAUGGCGAAGGCAGCCCCCUGGGUCAAGAUUGACGCUCAUGCACGAAAGCGUGGGGAGCAAACAGGAUUAGAAACCCCGGUAGUCCCAUGA